rnacentral:rRNA from 1 species
CAGGGAUUGCCCUAGUAACGGCGAGUGAAGCGGCAACAGCUCAAAUUUGAAAUCUGGCCCUCGGGUCCGAGUUGUAAUUUGUAGAGGAUGCUUUUGGCGCGGUGCCUUCCGAGUUCCCUGGAACGGGACGCCUUAGAGGGUGAGAGCCCCGUACGGUUGGACACCAAGCCUCUGUAAAGCUCCUUCGACGAGUCGAGUAGUUUGGGAAUGCUGCUCUAAAUGGGAGGUAAAUUUCUUCUAAAGCUAAAUAUUGGCCAGAGACCGAUAGCGCACAAGUAGAGUGAUCGAAAGAUGAAAAGCACUUUGAAAAGAGGGUUAAAUAGCACGUGAAAUUGUUGAAAGGGAAGCGUUUGCGACCAGACCUUUUCCUAGGGGAUCAUCCGGUGUUCUCACCGGUGCACUUCCCUAGGUUCAGGCCAGCAUCGGUUUCUGUAGGGGGAUAAAAGCUCUGGGAACGUAGCUCCCUCGGGAGUGUUAUAGCCCUCUGCAUAAUACCCUUACGGGGACCGAGGACCGCGCUUCGGCAAGGAUGCUGGCGUAAUGGUCGUCAACGACCCGUCUUGAAACACGGACCAAGGAGUCGAACAUUUGUGCGAGUGUUUGGGUGUUAAACCCUCACGCGUAAUGAAAGUGAACGGAGGUGAGAGCCCUUACGGGUGCAUCAUCGACCGAUCCUGAUGUCUUCGGAUGGAUUUGAGUAAGAGCAUAACUGUUCGGACCCGAAAGAUGGUGAACUAUGCGUGGAUAGGGUGAAGCCAGAGGAAACUCUGGUGGAGGCUCGCAGCGGUUCUGACGUGCAAAUCGAUCGUCAAAUCUGCGCAUGGGGGCGAAAGACUA